rnacentral:piRNA from 1 species
UAAACAUGAUAAAGGCAAUCUACAG